AUCUUCUCCUGUUUCAGAACAGAAAAAAGAAAAAAAAAGAAAGAAAACCCUAAGCCUAAAUAUGGAACACAUGUGCUUCUCAUCUGGGCUCUUUAGCGGGAUGGGGGAAAUGAGAACUGUCAUUGGCUCUUUGUCCCAAUGUUUCGGCGUGCCCUCACACCUGGGUCCCCCUCCCCCUGGCACUGCCCCAGCCUGAGCCGACCACGUUCAAAAGCAACUUCCACGGUGCAUCUUUGCUCAACUUGUAGCAUUUGGGCCUCUCUGCAUUUUAAGGCUUGCUCUCCUGGUCUGUGAAAAACCCACUCUUGCCUCUAUUUAUGGUAAACUCGAAGGUGUGCGGUGCAAGGACAGUAGAUGCCUUUUGGGUAAAGACCUGGAACCUUCCACCACCUCUCCAACUGGAUUGCAGUGGGCAGCCAUGACUCAUGGUGAGGUCAUGCAUUCCCAGGCAAAGUUUAUAGUAACCAGGAGGCUGAGCUAUUUGCAGGUGCCCUACAUACUGAGCAUACUAAUUCUAACUCACCUCCAUGUUGUGCUGGCAUCUUUUGAAGUAGAACUUCAUGGGGUGAACAGGAAGACUACAACAUUUUUAUUAUAGUUGGCUUCCUUUGCUGAAUAAGCGUUUAUAUUUUCCCAGUAGAAAUCCCCAAAUUGAAAAUAUAGAGGUGUCAGCUAGCACCACUUUAGUUAAGGUUGUGUCAACAUUUCCUAUAAACCUUGUUUUUCUAGGGUUUAUAACUAGACCAUAAAAAUUUGCUCAGCUCUGAAACUUGGCAUAGAGAGUAAACCUGGGAGUGAAUUUUGCAGAAUUUGAAGAGGGAAAAAUAAGUUCAGCUGUUUUUAACAUGUGCCUGUUCUAAAAUGGAAAUGAUUUUUAGAUGCAUUUUUCUUUUUGUGUGACUCAAAUGGAGCUUCAGUUUUUUUUUUUUAAUGAACUCCUUGAGAUUAUUUCAUUAAUAUGAGCUAAUUGCACUUGUUAGUUUUUAGAGAAAAUGUUAAUGAUUGAGGUAUUUAACUCAAACCCACUGACUGUGCAUCUCCAGGUACUGGAGUUAGCUGUGCAUAAUAAUGUGAUUUGGCAAAUUGUCUCCACACCUUUUAGUGCAGGAAACCACCAACACACUUCAAAGGAAGGAAUCCUUCUGGUAAGAGGUUAAUGGGCCAUUUCAAAACGCAUACUCACUCAGGAUAGCAUCCCAGUAUUCAUCUUUACUUAAUCUGUAGUUCACAUUCAUCAGAUGACCCUGAAAAGCAGUUCAUGUAAUGUUUGCAUGAGGGAAACAUCCAAUCCUUCUGAAAAUCUACAUUUUCCUGAGAAAGCGGAGCUAAUACUCUGCAUCCGCAGCAGCUCACUGUCCCUUUUGCUUUGCUGGCAGGAUAUUAGUAUGUCAGAGGCAAUUAGUCAGUGCGCUGCCAUAUGUUUGUGAUGCCCUGGGCUGCAUUUGACUGUCUCAGGCCACAAACUCUAGAAAGAUGGCAGCUAUCACCAGUGGCUUCCCAAAGCAUCAUGGAGGGAAGGGACAAAAGUGUUAGACUCAAAGUGUUAGACGCAGAGCUGCGUCUCUUCAUGCCCUCUCUGGCCCUUACUGACUCUGUGGACCAGGACUAGUCAGUCAUACUGUCUGGAGAUAACAAUAAUCUGCUAACCUAGUAGGCUUAUUGAGUCCACUGGAACCAUUAUGUAUACCAAAGCAUUUUUUAAACUGUCAAGUGCCAUCCAACUGUAAGGUGAUGGUACCUCCCUCAGCAUCUGAUACCCAGGGAUGCCUACUUAAAUGUUGGUAACACCACCUCUCUGCUGAUUCAUGUGGAAAGACCCUAUGCUUCCCAGCAUAACAAGUCACAACCACAUGACUCAACUUCGGUUUUAUUUCUUCGAAUUGCUCAUCUCUUUACUGAUCUGUUGCUGAUCACUGACCACCUUUUUGAAUGGACAAUGCUCCACAGUCCUGGCUGCUCAUUUUCCAUAGACAUUAACCCAGUCUGCCCCAGAUGCCACCUUCGAUUGUCACCUCAUCUGCCACCCCUCACCUAACCCCUAUCCUACAACACAAUAUCAGGUCCUUUGGCUAGUUGCACAGAUACGGUUUUUGGAACCCUUGCCCACUGCAUCCUGGGGCUACUGUCCUCAAGGAGAAACAUGCUACACAUCUCAGGUAUAAGCAGUCUGCAUUUGUGGAAAAUUUUCAGGCAGGGAGAUCUGUGAAAUAUUAUUAGCAUUGUCAGUCAUCAGAAGGGCCCUGCACCUUGGUUUAAUGCUCUGCUGUUGCAGAAACAUUCAUUUCAUGAAAUUCUUCAUACAUUUUAUUUUUUUAAAUAAUUUUUAUUUUUAUGUUUUUUGCUAACCGAAACUUUUAUUGAUUGAAAAAAAUACCAAGAGGCUGUCUUCUAAAGGUUCUUGGGCCUUAGACCUUAGGAAGAAGGGCCCUUAGUCCAUGAUCUGUUAGGAAAGGACUAGAACAAAGUUCCAUGGCCAGGCCACCCUCUGUUUCUCAGAUGUCAUGCUGAGUUGCAAGUACCCACACCCAUGUUUCUAGGCC
rnacentral:lncRNA from 1 species